CCGCAGUGCUGUGAGCUUUAUCCCGUAGCGAACGACUUCCGCUGGUACCUGGUCAGAAAUGAAACCGCUCAGAUUCGAGCUGGACCUGUGAUCAGGCGUUCCGUCGAGUGCUGUCCCAGUGCCGGAAACGUGAACGUUGAUGAGCAUUAUUUGGUGCUGUGUGAUGCAAAUAAUGGGAUGACUGAGUGGAUAUUUAAAGAUACGUUUCAAUAAGAUCAUCCCUCAUUCUGCUGAGCUCUAGUGGAUAUCGGCUCAACCUGAAUGAACGCUCUACAUCUGCUUAUACCAAGGAGGAAGAUGCUGCCAUGGUUACGAUAAAUGAUGUCAUAUGUGGGAGAUGGCGGAAAUCAUUGGGAUCUAUGGCAACCACAUCUGUAGCAAGUGUCUGAAGCUUGAGGAACAUCGACUAGGAGUUGAUGACCUGGAGUCCAAGGUUCCAAUACUGCAAUACAUCAGGGAGAAGGGAAGGGUCAGAAGGUCUGGCUAAGAUCUUUCCUGUGAAACAGCAACUAUUCCCUCGAUGUUCCAAGUUUCGGCUGCUGUAAAUUACCCCCUAAUCUACCCGGAAGGAAAAGGUAGCACUUGGAGGAAAUACGUGUGGUCACAGGGAGAACAUGAAAACUCCUCACAGAUACCACCUGAGGUCAGGCUCAACAACAGGGGGCCUUGGAACUGUGAGGCAGAAGAACUAACUGCUGCACCACCAGGCCUGAUGGUGAUUAAUUAAAUUGUAAGUUGCAAUAGGUGUACUCCUAUGUAGCCUAUAAAGACAAGCUUGGAGACUUGUACAUUAGCUCAGGACUAAUUUGGAAGGUGUCUGUCCGAGUAAAUAUAAUGUACAAAAUGUUUGAGAUUGGCCACAUAGAAUAUGUGGGACAGGAGAAUUGGCUUUGUGGCAGCCAUUACUCUCUGUAAAGUGCUUCAUGUAAGGACAUGGAUUUAAGCAGUUGCUGACAAACAAGCCUGAUCCACAAAUAUGACCAGUAUCAUAUAUGGAAUAUAGUAAAAAUCUGAGAGGUGGAUUGCCCAUCCCUUUUGCUGAUGAGAUGCUAAAAUCAAUGAGGAAGCUUUGAAAUAAAAGCAGAAAAUGCAUCAGAAUGGAUGAAAGGUUAUUCAAUGUGAACUCUGUUUCUCCCUCCAUGGCUGUUACCUGACCUACUGAGUGUUUCAAGCAUUUUCUGUUUUCAUUUCAGGUUUCCAGCAUCAAUGUACUAUCAAUUGAUGCCGGUACUUCUCUCACUCUACUUUAAAGAACCAUGCUAGGCAGUUCUCCAACCAAACAACUGGUCCUAACUGCACAAGUAGUUAGGAACUGAAUCAACUUAACAAGUGCUCUACCAUUUGUUGGUUAAGGUUCACUUAUUUUGUAGCAAGACAAGUCGGUACUCACUUUUCAGAAGCAGUCAUGAUGGUUGCACCAACUUUUUGUGCACAGAGGCAAGGCUUACAAUUUAUGACAAUCAGUGCUACCUUUGAAAAUAUGGAUUCUCAGAUCGUGGUCAUGUACUCUAAUCACUACAGUUUAGCAACACUAUGACCACUUUGCACUAAAAUGGACUUUGUUUUUUAUUGUUCUAAUUGUGUUCUUUCUUGUAAAAAUUGGUAUAAUUUAUGUUUAAUUAAUGUUUUUCUUGUGAAUGCUGCCUAUAUGAUGCUAUGUGCCUGUGAUGAUGCUGCAAGUAAGUUUUUCAUUGUACCUGUGUAUACAUGUACUUAUGCAUAUUGGCAAUAAACUCGACUUUGACUACUAUUGUACAUUAUAAACACAGGCACAAUGAGAUGCAUACAUUUAGACAAGCAGAACAUUUUGAAGAUCUGAAUUGAACUUGGGACCAUUUGGAAUGCCAGCUGCUUAAGGUUUCAAAAAUUGUGGUGGUGCAUUUAAUAUUCCUAAUUUCUGGUUUAAGAAUCACAAGUUCAAUAGCAGAGUAUGCCCAACAUUGGAAUUCAUAUAAGAUAGAAACUUUCUUACAGUUCCCAAAACAAAUUAAAGUAACUUCCACUGAUGGUUAUAACUUGUGUCAGUAUUCUUGCAGAUGUUAUGACCUUCACCACUUCUAUCCUCCCUCAGACUUGAGGUCCCCAAUACAAUAUUGUGCUACAUUAGAUUAUUUUAUCUAGGACAGAUUUUAGCAUAAAGUUCAUCAUCUGUUCAUCUAAGUACCAAUAAUUACAGUCAUUUCUAUCACAUAACUAAAUAUGUAUCUAGGUCAGAAAAGAUUAAAAAGGAAAAUGACAAGUCAGACCAGUGUGCAAGUAAAUUACAUAAUAAGGCAUUUAACAAAUUACAUAAAAGAUAAUGAUGCAGAUUUGAUCUAUUGGGUACUCUAAUUAUUCCUAUUUCCAUGAUGCUAUGAUUCAUUUUACUCAUUUUAUUUCCUGAGAAUCAUUUGAAAAUAUUCCUGUUACCAUGGCAUAGUUGAAUUAUUCUGACAUUGAGCAAUCAGACAACAUCGACUAUCUUUCAAGGUAUGUCUGUUAAACAUGAAAAAUAAUAUAAUAGUACAAAUUGUGCAAAUACUGUUAUACUGCAUGUAAACAUUUCAACUGAUGCAACUCAAAUUCUUCUAUUGUUUAUAAUUUAAAGCAGCAUGUUUUAAAUUUUAGAAAUACCAUCAGAUCAUGUAAUGUGUCAUCUCUAUCAGAUCUAGCCUGUAAACUGAGUUGGCCGUGCUUUCUCAUGUAAUUAAGGAGAUAACACAAAAGCAUGGGCAACUAUUGUGUGCUGGUAAGUUAAGAUAUGCAGGUUGAAUUUUGUAGCAUGUCCUAGACUCUGUGCAAAUGUGUUGAAUAUUAAAUAAGUCCCUGCACAGUAUGGAAGGGAGGAGGGCAAUUAGAUAAAAUGGUCUUUCGGCAUAAAAUGAGAAGGGGAGUGGAUUUCUAAUUUAUUUGUCUGUGUCAGAGAGAGUAAGUACUCUUCCUUGGAAUGGAAGUGGUUAAACUAACUACCAAUGUUAUGACUGUCAAGAUGCUCAUUGUUCUUCCUUAUUUUUCAAUGGACGUAUUCAUGAACUUCACCAUAAAAGGGUUUGUAUUGUUUAUAGGCAUGGCAGAAUUUUAAAAAAAGACUAGUAAAAAUAUUUAUGCAAUCGUAAUCACAAAUAAUCUUGGUAUGCUUUGGACAACAGUGAGAAUUAUGGAGGCAGUUUGAUGUGCAACUUCUGCAGGUGGAAUCCUGAAAAAAUGGCUUUUUUUCCCCCAGGAUUCUUACCAAUCUACUGCCCACACUGUAAUAGGAGAUUGGGAGAAAUUUUGUGACUUUUCUUGAACACAAUCUUGUGCCCUUAAGUACUGUUUUAAUUAUUGUCUUUGUCAUCAGGCAAAAGCAGUGGUUCCUUAUUUCAAAAGUGCUUGUUGUGAAGAGGGAAUUGAUUUGUUGACAAAAUCAAUAGUCUGCUACUUGUAAGCCAUAGUGGCAACAAACUAAGAGGGAUGCUGAAUGUUAUUGGGUACAUCCAAAAACAACUAUUCCCUAUGUGCCAAAUUUUAAUUAAUCUGCUUAUACAGUGAUGAUAUAAUUAAUGCUACUUUAAACAGACUUUAUGUGGACAUUAAAUAAAUGCUAUUAGCAGCUUUCCCAAAAGUAGCAUAUUUUUCCUACAUUGGUUUAAAUGAUCCUUGUUUUUUCUUGUAAAGCUGGUGAUGGGCUGAAAAUCUGUGUGAAUAAAUGUGCUUUACUGCUUGAGAUGAAUGUAUAAACUGGCAUAUGAUUGAUUGUUUGUGACUUUAGAUAUUAUGUGGGUGAAUAGUACUGGGCGAUUUAAUGUGCAGAUGACUGUGCAGGAGAGAUAGU